rnacentral:rRNA from 1 species
GGGCUUAGUAGCGUAGCUAACGCGUGAAGUUGACCGCCUGGGGAGUACGGUCGCAAGAUUAAAACUCAAAGGAAUUGACGGGGACCCGCACAAGCGGUGGAUGAUGUGGAUUAAUUCGAUGCAACGCGAAAAACCUUACCUACCCUUGACAUGUCUGGAAUCCUUUAGAGAUAGAGGAGUGCUCGCAAGAGAACCGGAACACAGGUGCUGCAUGGCUGUCGUCAGCUCGCGUCGUGAGAUGUUGGGUUAAGUCCCGCAACGAGCGCAACCCUUGUCAUUAGUUGCCAGCAUUUAGUUGGGCACUCUAAUGAGACUGCCGGUGACAAACCGGAGGAAGGUGGGGAUGACGUCAAGUCCUCAUGGCCCUUAUGGGUAGGGCUUCACACGUCAUACAAUGGUCGGGACAGAGGGUUGCCAAACCGCAAGGUGGAGCCAAUCUCAGAAACCCGAUCGUAGUCCGGAUUGCAGGC